rnacentral:rRNA from 1 species
UACGUAGGGGGCAAGCGUUAUCCGGAUUUACUGGGUGUAGAGGGAGCGUAGGUGGCUGUGCAAGUCUGAUGUGAAAACCCGGGGCUUAACCCCGGGACUGCAUUGGAAACUGUGCAGCUAGAGUGCAGGAGAGGUAAGUGGAAUUCCUAGUGUAGCGGUGAAAUGCGUAGAUAUUAGGAGGAACACCAGUGGCGAAGGCGGCUUACUGGACUGUAACUGACACUGAGGCUCGAAAGCGUGGGGAGCAAAC